AAGAAGUUUUGUGUUCCUAUUCAGCCACACUUUUGUUUGGAGACGAAAUAUGGUGUAGGGCUUAGAAGAUACCACUUUGAGUGUCCAUUUCCUAAACGGUGCCCAGGCAAGGCCUGCCAAGCAGGGCCACUGUAGGCAGGGCCCCUGUAGGCAGGACCCUGUAGGCAGGGCCACUGUAGGCAGGGCCCCUGUAGGGAGGACCCCUGUAGGCAGGACUGCUGUAGGCAGGACCCCUGUAGGCAGGGCCGCUGUAGGUAGGACCCCUGUAGGCAGGACCCCUGUAGGCAGGACCCUGUAGGCAGGACCCCUGUAGGCAGGACCCCUGUAGGCAGGACCCCUGUAGGUAGGACCCCUGUAGGCAGGACUGCUGUAGGCAGGACCCUGUAGGCAGGACCCCUGUAGGCAGGGCCGCUGUAGGUAGGACCCCUGUAGGCAGGACCCCUGUAGGCAGGACCCCUGUAGGCAGGACCCCUGUAGGCAGGGACCCUGUAGGCAGGACCCCUGUAGGCAGGACCCCUGUAGGCAGGACCCUGUAGGCAGUGCCGCUGUAGGCAGGACCCCUGUAGGCAGGGACCCUGUAGGCAGGACCCCUGUAGGGAGGACCCCUGUAGGCAGGACCCUGUAGGCAGGGCUUACAGCCUGCAAAUAGGAACCGAGUGGAACAGUUUGUGAGGAAACUGCAGACUCGAACUUGGGCCUUGAGCUGUUAGCAGCAAAGUGAGGACGUGGAGCUGCACAGAGGGUCUCUCGCUGGCGGAGUCCUCUUCAUAGAACAGUAACCGUCCCCCUUAGCGGGGAGAGCAAAGAAAAGGUGAACCAACUCAGCGUAUCACACAGGUGAUUAUACUGACAGUUACCACAGACGUUCUUUAUCGCGUACUCGUCCUAACCUACAGCUUUCCCUCGUGUCGGAAACGCUCGUAAGUUAGGACAUCAUCCAAAGAAAGCGGAACUCCUCAGACUGAACGCCGUCCGUCUCUCGCAUUCCAGUUUGCACAGGGACGCCACCGCGUGCACAGCUGUAGGGCACGCCCUCCUGUGGAGAAACACCCAUUUGUGUCAAUGCCAGACGGACCCCUGGAGGCAAGGUCGUACACACGGGGUAAAUUUGGAAAUAAAAAUGUAACUACUUUGAACCUUCGAGAACAAAAAGGUAGCCGUUGUGUAAAUAUAAAGAGAUGGUUUCACCUGUACCAGAUGUAUUUUGGCAGAUAAACUCAAAGUAUAAAUGUAUAUGUUGCACAAUUAUGUGAGAAUUGUAUAUUUUUUAAAGGCCAAUUGUCUUGGAUACUUUCCUAUAUUAAUGUAUAAAUCUGUACUAAGAUGUAACAUGGUUAUUGGUUUUUGAUUAACUAGUUUUUGUCUUUCCUCUCGACCAAAACUAUGCAAACGCAUGUACGUAUGUGUGUGUGUGUGUGUGUGUGUGUGUGUGUGUGUGUGUACGUAAAGCUGUGAGUUCACCUGAUUUCGAGAAACACCCACUGGAGGAGUGAUCCUCAGUAUCGACUCGGGGCCGUGCUCCUGCGAAUGUGUGCGAAGCAGCGAGUGUCAUGUGACUGUCACCCCUCUGUCCACACCGCAUGACCGCGUAAAUGGAAGUCCUUUAGA